AUUGAACGCUGGCGGCACGCCUAACACAUGCAAGUCGAGCGGCAGCAUGGUGUGUAGCAAUACACACUGAUGGCGAGCGGCGGACGGGUGAGGAACACGUAGGAACUUGCCCGGAAGAGGGGGACAACCAAGGGAAACUUUGGCUAAUACCGCAUAAUCUAGUAAUAGUAAAGUUGCCCGCAAGGGUGACGCUUCCGGAGAGGCCUGCGUCCGAUUAGCUAGUUGGUGAGGUAACGGCUCACCAAGGCGAUGAUCGGUAACUGGUCUGAGAGGACGA
rnacentral:rRNA from 1 species